rnacentral:rRNA from 1 species
UACGUAGGGGGCAAGCGUUGUCCGGAUUUAUUGGGCGUAAAGAGCUCGUAGGCGGUCUGUCACGUCGGCUGUGAAAACCCGAGGCUCAACCUCGGGCCUGCAGUCGAUACGGGCAAACUAGAGUACUGCAGGGGGAGACUGGAAUUCCUGGUGUAGCGGUGAAAUGCGCAGAUAUCGAGGAGGAACACCGGUGGCGAAGGCGGGUCUCUGGGCAGUAACUGACGCUGGAGGAGCGAAAGCGUGGGGAGCGAACAGG